CACCACGACACCAUCGCCGUCCACACCUUCUCCGACGAAACCCUAGCGAUGGCGUUCCGCGGCGCAGCCUCCCGCUCCUUCCUCGCCGCCGUCCGCGGCCGCACCGCCUCCACUGUCCCGCGCGUACGCGCGGCCCCCAUUCCCGCCGCCCUUCCCCGUCGCAUCCCUGCCUCGGCGCCCUCCUCCCCUCUCGCCGCCGCAAGGCCAUUGGCGGCGUUGAUGGGGUCGCCGGCGUUGGUUGCCGCAAGGCUGACGGGGCACUGCGCGGCGAGCGCGCGGGCGUGCUGUGAGCUCUCCCAGGGUACCCUCUUCUGCCGCACUUGUCAGGAUCGCUAACAAGGAAAAAUGGGGAAGAUGGUUGACGCAGAGGACAGCCAGAAUAAUUUUGGCACCCAUUGCGUCAAAUAAUGUACUUAAAGGACGAGUUGCUGCCCUUCGCAAGGAUACAACAGUUCUUUUGGGUGCAUCUCCUUGGAAGCUCUUCUGGGUUCAGUUCCUUUUCCUGGAUUCUGCAAAGUUAAAAAACUCCCCACUGCCGGUGCUAGUUUUUGUCUCCUAGACAAACGGACAUUCUACUUGAUAUUUUUAUAUAUGAAUAACGUCCUUUUGAUCAGCACAUGUCUCAUUGGAUGGUUCUUGUUUGCGAGGCAUGUUGAAAUCUUUAAUUCGUAAUCGGUAUCAUGCUGUUUCUCUAUGAGUCUACACUCGCAGCGAAUUUGCAAGUGGGAGUUCAGUGGAAUCAAAGAAAGCCCACAUGUGAUUGUCGAUAUAUUAUCGUUAUUGAUAGCCAAACUGUAGAUUGUGUUGUGUCUUCAACCGUUUAAAUUUAUGAAUCUAAAAUUUCCGUUUGUAUAAUUUAUAAAUAGCUGGUA